rnacentral:rRNA from 1 species
CCGCGUGGGUGACGAAGGUUUUCGGAUCGUAAAGCCCUUUUCUGUGUGACGAGAUAGGACGGUAGCACAGGAAUAAGUGUCGGCUAACUACGUGCCAGCAGCCGCGGUAAAACGUAGGACGCAAGCGUUAUCCGGAAUUACUGGGCGUAAAGCGCGCGCAGGCGGGUGAUUAAGUCAUAUGUGAAAGCUCUCGGCUAAACUGAGAGAGGUCAUGUGAAACUGAUGAUCUGGAGUAUGUCAGAGGCGUGUGGAAUUCCGCGUGUAGUGGUGAAAUGCGUAGAUAUGCGGAGGAACACCAGUGGCGAAGCGACACGCUGGGGCAAGACUGACGCUGAGCGCGAAAGCAUGGGUAGCGAACGGGAUUAGAACCCCGGUAGUCCAUGCCGUAAACGAUGUACC